UGUACAUCUGGUAGAAUUCAGCUGUGAAUUCGUCUGGACCUGAACUAUUUUUCAACCAGAACAGCUUUUCUGCACUGUUGGACCAAGGACAUGCUACCCAGCAACCUCACCCACCUGAAAUGCAGCCCCUCUGCUUCUGCUGAAAGCCUUCAAAGCAACAAUCGUCAUCUGUUAAAUUAGAACCUGGGAGAUCAGGGGAUUGACGGUCACCACACUCACUCCUAUACAAAGACAAACUAUGUACAGACACCCAGGAAGCAACUGGAAAAUGCAACUGGUCUGGGGAUUAACAGACAAAUAGGGAGAAAAAGUCAUUUAAGGUGACCUUUGCCCACCGGCUGUGCACAGGGAGAACCUGCAAUUCCAUUCAUCGAAGCAACACACCACGAUUUUCAUUUGGCAAAUAAAAAUAAAUACAUGUUCAGAAACGGGAGAAAAAUAAACUCAGCUUUUCAUCACA